UUUUCAGCAAAAUCGAGCUUCAAUACUGAUGCGGUCUUUGAGCCGAUGAGCGUGAGUGAGGCAGAGUUCAGACAGAUCGCGUGAAAAUUGAAAAUUAAAAGAAGAUGAAAUGAUAUGAAACCCUAAGCCUAAGUGACUAAGUCUGGGAAGUGGGCAUUUGAAUUUUGGGCCUUUAGAGUGUUGGGUCAGUGGUGAGUGGACGGGUGUGCUACCAGAGUAUCAGUAUUGGACAGUGUGUGCUUUUUUUAUCGGGUUAUCGAGUGGCCCAAUAGAAAAAUAAGUAAAUUUUACAUAUAUAUCGACAUGUUUAACAUUAAUUACUAAAAAUCUCAACAUCUUUCAAAAUCUCCUAAAAUUUCAACAUUUGACCUCUGGUGAUACAAGUUAAUUACAUUAGAUACAUACUGUUGAUACAUGUAUUAAUUAACUAAGUCAGACAACCUUCCAUAAAAUCAACAUUAAAGCUAAUUAAUUAAGGUAAAAAGUAAAAUCAAAUCCCACAAUUAGUGGGAAUCCGCUUAAUACUCCCCUUUGUUAAAACAUAGUCUCUUUUAAAAAAAAAUUGAAAUUUAAAAAAUCUUCAUUCUUCUUGUUCAGACAAAACAUAAUUUUUUUUUGUUGAUUUGCUAAUUUCAUUUCUUUGAUAUGAAAAAAGAGGAUAGAUAAAAUCUAGGGCUGCAUAUCGGUCGGUUCGGUUCGAUUUUGAAAAUUAUCGAUUUUACUUAUUCAUUAUCGGUUUGUAUAUAUGCUAAACCGUUAAAGAACCGUUAAGAUAGCAGUUAAUCGGUUAUCGGUUUAUCAUUGUUAUCGAUUCGGUUAUCGGGUGAACCGUUAACAUUAAACAUAUCUAAUUUAAAGUACAAAGCUAGUAAGCAGUAAGCUACUGCCUACGAUUACAUCGCUACGACCAACUGCUUAGUGUUUUUUCUUGUUUCUAUGCACAAAGUCCCUAGCACAAAGCCACAAAUAGAAUACAAAAUAUUAAAACUCAAGUCAAAAAUUAAUUUAAAACUGUUAGCACAAACAAAAUAGAAAAAUUCAAAGUAAAAGUCACACGCUCACACAAGUUGAAAAUUAAUAGGAUUAGCCGAUUAGCAGUAGAAUCAUGUUCCCAGAUGAUUCCAAGCAGUUAGAUUUAUACCAAUAAUUCCAAAACAGAAUCAUGUAAAUGAAACAACUGCUCUGAACUAGAAACUGCAGGGUAUCCACUAUCAAUUAGACUGAGAUGAUUCUGAAGAAGCAGGGUGUUUAAUAAGGAACCUAACUAGCAAAUCGAGGAGUAGACCAGAUAUGAAAAAUAGGACAGCUAAUAUAACUAUAAUGAAAAGAACAGCUGGACUAAUAUAAAAUUUAGUUCUCAGGUGGGGAUGAAGAAGAUGUGUUUAGUUCUUUGUGAAAAUCUGAAAUUUCACCAAAUGGGGGAGGGGGAUAUGUAAAGACACCAUCUUUUCUAUGUUGAAUCAAGAACUUCUCAAAUGGGUAUGACUAGAAACCCAUCUUUGUGACCCAACUUUACCAAAUGAACAAAUCAUCUCAAAAACACAUCCAAAAGAACCCAACUUUCUCAACUUCUUUUCACCAUCUCUGAACCAAAAAUCACGCAAAACACACUUGAAUUCAAGCAGUUCCAAUAAAAAAAAACCUACUAUUAACACUGCCCCAUCAGAAGACUUCUAAGAAUGAAAUCGAGCAAAAACAAAAAUUCUUACCUGUUGACUGUUGAGAGCAAAAGCAAAAAUCGACUUGGGUCUCUUCAGUUUUCAGCAAAAUCGAGCUUCAAUACUGAUGCGGUCUUUGAGCCGAUGAGCGUGAGUGAGGCAGAGUUCAGACAGAUCGCGUGAAAAUUGAAAAUUAAAAGAAGAUGAAAUGAUAUGAAACCCUAAGCCUAAGUGACUAAGUCUGGGAAUUGGGCAUUUGAAUUUUGGGCCUUUAGAGUUUUGGGUCAGUGGUGAGUGGACGGGUGUGCUACCAGAGUAUCAGUAUUGGACAGUGUGUGCUUUUUUUAUCGGGUUAUCGAGUGGCCCAAUAGAAAAAUAAGUAAAUUUUACAUAUAUAUCGACAUGUUUAACAUUAAUUACUAAAAAUCUCAACAUCUUUCAAAAUCUCCUAAAAUUUCAACAUUUGACCUCUGGUGAUACAAGUUAAUUACAUUAGAUACAUACUGUUGAUACAUGUAUUAAUUAACUAAGUCAGACAACCUUCCAUAAAAUCAACAUUAAAGCUAAUUAAUUAAGGUAAAAAGUAAAAUCAAAUCCCACAAUUAGUGGGAAUCCGCUUAAUACUCCCCUUUGUUAAAACAUAGUCUCUUUUAAAAAAAAAUUGAAAUUUAAAAAAUCUUCAUUCUUCUUGUUCAGACAAAACAUAAUUUUUUUUUGUUGAUUUGCUAAUUUCAUUUCUUUGAUAUGAAAAAAGAGGAUAGAUAAAAUCUAGGGCUGCAUAUCGGUCGGUUCGGUUCGAUUUUGAAAAUUAUCGAUUUUACUUAUUCAUUAUCGGUUUGUAUAUAUGCUAAACCGUUAAAGAACCGUUAAGAUAGCAGUUAAUCGGUUAUCGGUUUAUCAUUGUUAUCGAUUCGGUUAUCGGGUGAACCGUUAACAUUAAACAUAUCUAAUUUAAAGUACAAAGCUAGUAAGCAGUAAGCUACUGCCUACGAUUACAUCGCUACGACCAACUGCUUAGUGUUUUUUCUUGUUUCUAUGCACAAAGUCCCUAGCACAAAGCCACAAAUAGAAUACAAAAUAUUAAAACUCAAGUCAAAAAUUAAUUUAAAACUGUUAGCACAAACAAAAUAGAAAAAUUCAAAGUAAAAGUCACACGCUCACACAAGUUGAAAAUUAAUAGGAUUAGCCGAUUAGCAGUAGAAUCAUGUUCCCAGAUGAUUCCAAGCAGUUAGAUUUAUACCAAUAAUUCCAAAACAGAAUCAUGUAAAUGAAACAACUGCUCUGAACUAGAAACUGCAGGGUAUCCACUAUCAAUUAGACUGAGAUGAUUCUGAAGAAGCAGGGUGUUUAAUAAGGAACCUAACUAGCAAAUCGAGGAGUAGACCAGAUAUGAAAAAUAGGACAGCUAAUAUAACUAUAAUGAAAAGAACAGCUGGACUAAUAUAAAAUUUAGUUCUCAGGUGGGGAUGAAGAAGAUGUGUUUAGUUCUUUGUGAAAAUCUGAAAUUUCACCAAAUGGGGGAGGGGGAUAUGUAAAGACACCAUCUUUUCUAUGUUGAAUCAAGAACUUCUCAAAUGGGUAUGACUAGAAACCCAUCUUUGUGACCCAACUUUACCAAAUGAACAAAUCAUCUCAAAAACACAUCCAAAAGAACCCAACUUUCUCAACUUCUUUUCACCAUCUCUGAACCAAAAAUCACGCAAAACACACUUGAAUUCAAGCAGUUCCAAUAAAAAAAAACCUACUAUUAACACUGCCCCAUCAGAAGACUUCUAAGAAUGAAAUCGAGCAAAAACAAAAAUUCUUACCUGUUGACUGUUGAGAGCAAAAGCAAAAAUCGACUUGGGUCUCUUCAGUUUUCAGCAAAAUCGAGCUUCAAUACUGAUGCGGUCUUUGAGCCGAUGAGCGUGAGUGAGGCAGAGUUCAGACAGAUCGCGUGAAAAUUGAAAAUUAAAAGAAGAUGAAAUGAUAUGAAACCCUAAGCCUAAGUGACUAAGUCUGGGAAUUGGGCAUUUGAAUUUUGGGCCUUUAGAGUUUUGGGUCAGUGGUGAGUGGACGGGUGUGCUACCAGAGUA
rnacentral:lncRNA from 1 species